UACGUAGGGGGCUAGCGUUGUCCGGAAUCAUUGGGCGUAAAGAGCGUGUAGGCGGUCCGGUAAGUCCGCUGUGAAAGUCGGGGGCUCAACCCUCGAAUGCCGGUGGAUACUGUCGGGCUAGAGUGCGGAAUAGGCGAGUGGAAUUCCUGGUGUAGCGGUGAAAUGCGCAGAUAUCAGGAGGAACACCUAUUGCGAAGGCAGCUAACUGGGCAUUAUCUGACGCUGAGGCGCGAAAGCGUGGGUAGCAAACAGG
rnacentral:rRNA from 1 species